rnacentral:rRNA from 1 species
AGAAUCAACGCUGGCGGCGUGCCUAACACAUGCAAGUCGAACGAGAAAGUGGAGCAAUCCAUGAGUACAGUGGCGACCGGGUGAGUAACACGUGACUACCUACCCUUGAGUGGGGGAUAACCUCGGGAAACCGAGGCUAAUACCGCAUAAUAUCGAGAGAUCAAAGGAGUAAUCCGCUUUGGAGGGGGUCGCGGCUGAUUAGCUAGUUGGUAGGGUAAUGGCCUACAAAGGCGAAGAUCGGUAUCCGGCCUGAGAGGGCGCACGGACACACUGGAACUGAAACACGGUCCAGACUCCUACGGGAGGCAGCAGUGGGGAAUUUUGCGCAAUGGGGGAAACCCUGACGCAGCAACGCCGCGUGGAGGAUGAAGCCCCUUGGGGUGUAAACUCCUUUCGACCGGGAAAAUAAUGAUGGUACCGGUGGAAGAAGCACCGGCUAACUCUGCGCCAGCAGCCGC